AUUAUUGUUCAGUGUUGUGCGUUUAUGCAAACAAAUACCACAACGCAAUAACCUGUGUCAAAUACUGCCAUUUGAUCCAUCACAUCUUCAGAUGAUGUUGUAAUGGAUAUCACUGAUUACCUGAAAGUACUAUUAAAGAAAAGCUUGAAAGGA